AUAAAAUCUAUGUCAUAGAAAUCUCUCCAUAUUUUUUUCAAUAAAAUAAAUGUGUUAGGAUGGUCUUAUGACCAUCGUAGUUAGGACUGUCCUGAGACAGCUUUGUUUUACAUCCUAAGACAUGUCUCAGACACGUCCUAAGACCAUCCUAAAUAAUGUCCUAAGACAUAUCUUAGGACAUAUCCUAGGAUACUUUCAUUGACACGGCCCC
rnacentral:lncRNA from 1 species